rnacentral:rRNA from 1 species
GACAGAGGGUGCAAACGUUGUUCGGAAUUACUGGGCGUAAAGCGCGUGUAGGCUGCUUCGAAAGUCGGGUGUGAAAGCCCCGGGCUCAACCCGGGAAGUGCACUCGAAACUUCGGAGCUCGAGUCCUGGAGAGGAUGGCGGAAUUCUCGGUGUAGAGGUGAAAUUCGUAGAUAUCGAGAGGAACACCGGUGGCGAAGGCGGCCUUCUGGACAGUGACUGACGCUGAGACGCGAAAGCGUGGGGAGCAAACAGG